UUAGCUCUUGAAGCCACGUAGAAACCAAUGUAGUUAACGAUCAUCUGGGUCGAUCCGUUGCUUCUUCUCCAAAACCUCCAUUAUCAAAACGAGCAGUUUCUGGAAGAUCUGUUAGAUUGAACAGGAAUGAAGAUUCAUAUUUGCACUGCCUGUGCUUGGCAACGCCUAUUGAGGCGUUGCCGGAUCCGGUUCCUAACAUAUUUGCUGAAACUUAUUUACCCAGCUAACGGCCAAACGAAAAAGGCGUGACUCUCGUUGCUUGAUCUCUAUGUGCGUACAAAAUCUGCUUUAUCGAGGCGAGCAAUUUAUGGAACAUGUGUUGAUGGAACAUGUGAUGAAGAUGAAGAUUGGCACCGCGCCUAUUGAGGCGUUGCUGGAUUCGGAUAUUGACAAUUUUUUGUGGAUACUGUUCGGGGAGCGCUGUGAUAUUUUUUGGGCUUAAUUAAUCACGGGAACUUCUAGAAGGAAAGAAAAUCAAGUAAAAUGCAGCGUGGUAGUAGUAAUUCCGACUUACCCACUGAAAACUACAUCAGUGGUGAAAGCAUUGGUCGAUCCAGUCUAAUUCCCACUAUUGAGACACCUUUUCAAGGUACACAUACUCUGUAUGUGCAAGGUUCUGAACGAAUGAUUUCUCAACCAGUUAAUCUAUCUGUGCCAGCGAGAGUUAGUCUGAACCAUGAAACUGGUGCACAUAGCCCUUCAUCAGCUUUGACUAGCACUCCAUCACCAGCUUUGUCAAGCUCUAGUUCUCGUUCUAUAGGUUCCAUCAUAAGCCAAAAUGCAUCAUAUACUGUUGUUGGUCAUGGCCAUAGACAAGACUUAGGGUCUACAUCUGAAAAUUUGGAUGUACGUGAAUAUAUAAGCACAACAAACUCCAUGUUGCCAAAUGAGGCAACUUUUGAUUUUGGUCAUGUAAGAACUAUGGCCUAUGCUGCACCUAGAAUUAUAUAUGGAAGACCGGAAUCCCCUCUUAUUGUUAUGGUACCCGAUAUUUCGGGAAAUAAUUACUUCUCAUAUGGGACUCCAGCAAUUCUUGUGGCUAAUGGAACUAGCACAUACUUUGUUUCCAUUAUUCCAAGAAAUUUGUUUUCGUAUUGGAUUCCAACAGGAAUGUUUUCAAAUACACUGGCUCCCGUCCUACCGGUUAUGCAUGCUCCUGUUUUCCUUGGACCAUUACCACAUUUUUCAGGGAACUGGACUUAUAGCUCUUUCCAGAUUCCAUAUAUGUAUCCUGUGAUGAAUCACACCCCGAGAUUUGCGGGAGUGAACCCUGGACCCAGUCGUAUGGCACUGCAUCCUCAUCCUUCCAAUUUUCACACUGGUUUAUGUACAUGCAUUAAUGAGGCUAUUCUUCCAAAUCAAUUGACCACCUGAGAAGCUAGAGUAAGCUGUUAUGGGAAGAAAAAGUAAUGCUACCUUUAUCUUGUUUACGUUUUUAACAAAAUAGAGGAACAAAAAGUAAGUCAUAUUACUUUGUGGAUAGCCUAAUAGGAUUUGCAUCUUCCUUGAAACCCCAGGGGUAAGUUUUUGUUUCUGCGACAAUUCUUGAAACUGAUUUUUCUAACAGUAAAAAAAAGGUUAUGCUCAAUUCGCAGGAAAGGAACAUAAGUCUAGAGCCCUUUGGAUUUAAAAUAUUAUUAUCCUGUGAUGCUCAAAUGCAUCUAGUUUACAAGCAUUUGACUGGUGUCUUGAUGUGUAUUCCUUCUGGUCCCCUUUCAACUCUAACCGAAAUCAGUGAUUGUGCUGUAGUUUUUAGUUUACCUAUAAUUUGGUGCUAACACAACCAUGACCGUUUUAGUUUGUCUCGAAAAAGUUCAAGCCUUUGCCUAUAGUUGGAACUUCAACAGACCUGAUUAGAAAUUUCUGAAUUCAAGAUUGUAUGGCAAAAGUUUGUCAGAUAAUGUAGACAUUGUAGGAGUUUUGAGUAGCUUUCCAGUUACUGGUUCAUCCUAGUUGACUAAUUCGGAAUUUAAAAAAUUAUUUUUGCUUCUAAAAUUGCUUUCCAGUGACCGCCACGAGCAAGCUAGUCAUUAUGUGUAUGAAUGCGAGAAUUUAUUACUUGACAUGAGAUCUCUAAAUGGUAAUGAUUGCUGCGUAGUGUCUAUAAAUUGUUCAUGGCUAGUUGAUUUUUCUUUGACCAAGCCUACUAUGCAUAUUUGAUCCGUAGCAUUUACUUGCUUGGAGAUUAUUUUUUCUAAACUAGCCUGGAGAUUGUAACAAGUUUUAAGUGAUAUAUCAGGCACAAAAUGCUAUGCCCCAAACUUUUCAUUUUGUUGUGGGAAAUGUGAGGUAGUAAUGAACAAAUAUGAAAAACAAAAGUAUGAAAAUUUUAUUGUUCUUUAUGGAAUAUUUUUCCUCACAUACUCUGAUCUUGAAUUUAGGGUUUGUUGGCCAUUCAAGGCCCGGUUGGAUCUAUCAAUACAGGAUUAAGUAGAGAAGUCAUUUUGGCACGUAUGAAGUGCGUCAAGUAUGAAUUAGCUGAAAGAUCUACAAGUGACAACGAUAUGUGUUGUAUUUGUUUUGAAGACUUUUCUGAGGUACAGAAUAUUGGAAGCACCGAUUGUCAGCACACCUUUCAUUUCGAUUGCAUCAGCCAGUGGCUCAUGCAGAAGAACUCAUGCCCCCUCUGCAGGAGGACAGCAUUGGCAAUUUAAGGGGAAUCCAAAUUUUAUUACUAGAACAUUUAUAUAUCUUAAUUUCAAUUAGCACUUUGUUGUAUUCUAUGGUAUAAGUAUCAUACCUUUCGAACCUCGGGAGUGAUUUUAUAAAGUCAGUCAUGUGAAAUGCAAGUGUUUGUGUUGUGCACACUCAGUGGGAGUGACAAAAAAAAAAGAUUUGAUGUUGAAUGACUAGAAUGAUGGUGAUCUCUAUAGCAGGUUGUUCAAUAGAGGGCACUUCGUACUUA